GCAGAAAGAACAGUUAUUGAAAUCAACACCAUCAGUGUGCUGACAUAACAUGAGUGCAACAAUUCCCUUUUCUAUAGGGCUAGUUUCAGUUUAUUAUAACUGAAUAGAAAUGGAUAAUAUCAUCCUACAAGCUUGACUUCCACGAAGGAGACUUUCAGCAAGAAGCUCCAACAUCCGAAGCCAUAUCAUAGGUCUUUUGCAGACCAUAUAGAGCUGCUGGUGGGAGCGCCCUGUGGGCCAGCCCUUAUCUCGGUAUAGGGUUUCAGUGGUUUGAUGGUUUUCAUCCAGCCUCAUCCAUUGGGUGAUCACAUUGUAACAAAAGGAGCCUGGAAGAGUCAUAAUCCAGUUCAUGGAAAAUAAUCUCACUGUCUAACUGCUCCACUUUGAACCUGCAUCACUGCAAACAACAUUAAGGACUCUUAGCUGCUGCUCAAGUCGUGCAGGCCUCUCUGUUUCUAAUUACUUCGUGCUGAUGCUGUGGGAAUAUGCUGAGGCUGUGCCACCUCUGAUACUGCCAAAUGGCUCUGUGAUACGCAGCAGUGCCCCGGCCCCUCUCCAGGUAUUUCCU
rnacentral:lncRNA from 1 species